UGGCUGUGAUGACUUCUUAGGACACCUUUGGAUUACAAAUGAAACCACUCUAUGCAAACUGAGCUGC